AAUGUUUAGAAAAAAAAGCUGCACUUAACCCUCCUGUUGUCCUCAUUUUCUGUAUACACCCUGUGUCCUCCGGUUCAAAAUGACCCGUCUUCACUAAACCCCCAAUAUAAGCAGCUUAAUUGAAUUUUAAACACCAAAUUUCA